GUUGUGGUUAAAGCUCGUAGUUGAACCUUGGGCCUGGCUGGCCGGUCCGCCUCACCGCGUGUACUGGUCCGGCCGGGCCUUUCCCUCUGUGGAACCCCAUGCCCUUCACUGGGUGUGGCGGGGAAACAGGACUUUUACUUUGAAAAAAUUAGAGUGCUCCAGGCAGGCCUAUGCUCGAAUACAUUAGCAUGGAAUAAUAGAAUAGGACGUGUGGUUCUAUUUUGUUGGUUUCUAGGACCGCCGUAAUGAUUAAUAGGGACAGUCGGGGGCAUCAGUAUUCAAUUGUCAGAGGUGAAAUUCUUGGAUUUAUUGAAGACUAACUACUGCGAAAGCAUUUGCCAAGGAUGUUUUCAUUAAUCAGGAACGAAAGUUAGGGGAUCGAAGACGAUCAGAUACCGUCGUAGUCUUAACCAUAAACUAUGCCGACUAGGGAUCGGACGAUGUUAUUUUUUGACUCGUUCGGCACCUUACGAGAAAUCAAAGUGCUUGGGCUCCAGGGGGAGUAUGGUCGCAAGGCUGAAACUUAAAGAAAUUGACGGAAGGGCACCACCAGGGGUGGAGCCUGCGGCUUAAUUUGACUCAACACGGGGAAACUCACCAGGUCCAGACACAAUGAGGAUUGACAGAUUGAGAGCUCUUUCUUGAUUUUGUGGGUGGUGGUGCAUGGCCGUUCUUAGUUGGUGGAGUGAUUUGUCUGCUUAAUUGCGAUAACGAACGAGACCUUAACCUGCUAAAUAGCCCGUAUUGCUUUGGCAGUACGCUGGCUUCUUAGAGGGACUAUCGGCUCAGCCCGAUGGAGUUUGAGCAUAACAGUCUGUGAUGCCCUUAGAUGUCUGGGCCGCACGCGCGCUACACUGAC
rnacentral:rRNA from 1 species